UACGUAGGGUGCAAGCGUUGUCCGGAAUUAUUGGGCGUAAAGAGCUCGUAGGCGGUUCGUCGCGUCGGCUGUGAAAUCCCGAGGCUCAACCUCGGGUCUGCAGUCGAUACGGGCGGACUGGAGUACUGCAGGGGAGACUGGAAUUCCUGGUGUAGCGGUGAAAUGCGCAGAUAUCAGGAAGAACACCCGUGGCGAAGGCGGCUUUCUGGGACGGUACUGACGCUGAGACGCGAAAGCGUGGGGAGCGAACAGG
rnacentral:rRNA from 1 species